CUCGAGGCCAGAUCUAGAGUUUGAUCCUGGCUGAGGACGAACGCUGGCGGCGUGCCUAAUACAUGCAAGUCGAGCGGAUCGAUGGGAGCUUGCUCCCUGAGAUCAGCGGCGGACGGGUGAGUAACACGUGGGUAACCUGCCUGUAAGACUGGGAUAACUCCGGGAAACCGGGGCCAAUACCGGAUAAUUUAGUUCCUCGCAUGAGGAACUGUUGAAAGGUGGCUUUUCGCUAUCACUUACAGAUGGACCCGCGGCGCAUUAGCUAGUUGGUGAGGUAACGGCUCACCAAGGCAACGAUGCGUAGCCGACCUGAGAGGGUGAUCGGCCACACUGGGACUGAGACACGGCCCAGACUCCUACGGGAGGCAGCAGUAGGGAAUCUUCCGCAAUGGACGAAAGUCUGACGGAGCAACGCCGCGUGAGUGAAGAAGGUUUUCGGAUCGUAAAACUCUGUUGUUAGGGAAGAACAAGUACCGUUCGAAUAGGGCGGCACCUUGACGGUACCUAACCAGAAAGCCACGGCUAACUACGUGCCAGCAGCCGCGGUAAU
rnacentral:rRNA from 1 species